CUCACGGGUGUGCUGGGAAUACCCUGGAAAACAAGGAAAGCCCCCCUCAAACUGCAGUCAGAAAACCCCUGAUAAAAGGCACCAAAAGCACUUCAUUAAGGAGAUGUCUCAGUGCUACCUGCUCACUUUGUUGCAGAGGAAAGAUAUCCUAGAAAUUUGUUUGGGUGAAAUACAUGGAACCAUUUGCUCCUCCCAGCAGUACAACUGAAGCCUUUCACCAUCCCUUUUCCUGGAUUGUUUCCAGAAACUUGACAUGAAUCUGAAACUGUUGUGAAAUGAGAAAUUCACCCUCCUGGCUCUAUCACCACUCCUUGGAAUUCCACCUGCAAGGGAAGAAAAAUCAGACCCUGAUUUGUCCCAAAUGCUGAAAUCAAGGACACUGAGCAGAGAAUUUCAGGUUUUAUUUUUGAUAUACAAAACUGAACAGAGAAAUCACUGACUAUCAUCACACUUUGGUGUCUUCUU